rnacentral:lncRNA from 1 species
CUAAAUUUGGCCGCAUCAUUGCAAAGAACUGCCUUGACAAGAGAUGUUCCACAGAGCUGCUGUGUGCCGCAGAGCAGACCCACACCAUCAGCAGCCAGCUCAGCAUCGUGGCCAGGGUAAAAGCAGUCACUGCAGAGAGCAAGUCAUCUUCUGAGCUGCUUGUGAGCAACGCGCAGAACCUAAUUCAAGCAGUUUUGCAUGUUCUAAAGGCAGCUGAGGCAGCAUGUGUCAAAGGUUUGCAACAGCCUCCGCCUGACUCUGAAGAAGCAGAAGUAGCUGCUUUUUGCAUUGAA